GACGAACGCUGGCGGCGUGCUUAACACAUGCAAGUCGUACGGUAAGGCCCUUUCGGGGGUCCACGAGUGGCGAACGGGUGAGUAACACGUGAGUAACCUGCCCACAACUUUGGGAUAACGCUAGGAAACUGGUGCUAAUACUGGAUAUGUGCUCCUGCUGCAUGGUGGGGGUUGGAAAGCUCCGGCGGUUGUGGAUGGACUCGCGGCCUAUCCGCUUGUUGGUGGGGUAGUGGCCUACCAAGGCGGCGACGGGUAGCCGGCCUGAGAGGGUGACCGGCCGCAGUGGGACUGAGAUACGGCCCAGGCUCCGACGGGAGGGAGAAGGGGGGAAGAUUGCACAAGGGGCGCAAGCCGGAUGCAGAAACGCCGCGUGCGGGAUGACGGUCUUCGGGUUGUAAACCGCUUUCAGCAGGGACGAAGCUUUUUGUGACGGUACCUGCAGAAGAAGCACCGGCUAACUACGUG
rnacentral:rRNA from 1 species